rnacentral:rRNA from 1 species
CCUACGGGUGGCAGCAGUGGGGAAUAUUGGACAAUGGGCGAAAGCCUGACGCAGCAACGCCGCGUGAAGGAAGAAGGCUUUCGGGUUGUAAACUUCUGUUGACAGGGAAGAGCAGAAGACGGUACCUGUCGAAUAAGCCACGUCUAACUAUGUGAGAGCAGGCGCGGUAAUACGUAGGUGGCAAGCGUUGUCCGGAUUUACUGGGUGAAAGGGGCGUGUAGCCGGGCUGACAAGUCAGAUGUGAAAUCCGGGGCUCAACCCCCGAACUGCAUUUGAAACUGUGGGUCUAGAGUAUCGGAGAGGCAGGCGGAAUUCCUAGUGUAGCGGUGAAAUGCGUAGAUAUUAGGAGGAACACCAGUGGCGAAGGCGGCCUGCUGGACGACAACUGACGGUGAGGCGCGAAAGCGUGGGGAGCAAACAGGAUUAGAUACCCCUGUAGUC